GUCUACGGCCAUACUACCCUGAACACGCCCGAUCUCGUCUGAUCUCGGAAGCUAAGCAGGGUCAGGCCUGGUUAGUACUUGGAUGGGAGAAUAUUCCCUUUAUCGAAAAGACACUUGCCAUGAACA